rnacentral:rRNA from 1 species
UACGUAGGGUGCAAGCGUUGCCCCGGAUUUAUUGGGCGUAAAGGGCGCGUAGGCGGCUCUGCACGUUCGUUGUGAAAUCGCCCCGGCUCAACUGGGCGGGGUCAGCGGAUACGGCAGAGCUUGAGCAAGCUAGGGGCAAUGGAAUUCCCGGUGUAGUGGUGGAAUGCGUAGAUAUCGGGAGGAACACCAGUGGCGAAGGCGGUUGCCUGGGGCUUGCUGACGCUGAUGCGCGAAGCGUGGGGAGCGAUCCGG